AGAGUUUGAUUCUGGCUCAGAAUCAACGCUGGCGGCGUGCCUAACACAUGCAAGUCGAACGCGAAAGGGGAGCAAUCCCUGAGUAGAGUGGCAAACGGGUGAGUAACACGUGGGUGACCUGCCUCAGAGUGGGGGAUAACGUCCCGAAAGGGACGCUAAUACCGCAUAACAUCCUGCCUUUGGAAAGGCGGAGAUCAAAGCCGGGGAUCGCAAGACCUGGCGCUUGGAGAGGGGCCCGCGUCUGAUUAGCUAGUUGGUAGGGUAAUGGCCUACCAAGGCAACGAUCAGUAUCCGGCCUGAGAGGGCGGACGGACACACUGGGACUGAGACACGGCCCAGACUCCUACGGGAGGCAGCAGUGGGGAAUUUUGGGCAAUGGGCGAAAGCCUGACCCAGCAACGCCGCGUGAGGGAGGAAAUCCUUCGGGAUGUAAACCUCACAAGCAAGGGAAGAGAGCUACGGGCUGAAUAAUCCCGUAGUGCGACGGUACCUUGCGUAAGCCACGGCUAACUACGUGUCAGCCGCCGCGGUAA
rnacentral:rRNA from 1 species